GUGGCGUUUGAGGACUUGCCCUUUUACAGAAUAAUAAUAAAGGCAUGCAGGGGUGUUUACAAACAGACGACCACAGCUGAAGUAGAUUGUGAGCUUGGAGAGGUCCUGAAACUGGCCACUUUUCGAAAGGGAGGUUCAAAGUUUGAGGAGAAGAGGAGGAAUUAAGAGGAAGCGACGGCGAAGAAGGGCAAAGGGAAGUG